CGUGUAUGUCAACAUAUUCGAUUGUCGCGCAUACAUAUAGCGAAUUGUCGCGUAAACUGACACUUCAAGCAUGAAAUUUGCGGAGCAUCUGAGCGCUCAUAUUACACCAGAAUGGAGAAAACAGUAUAUCAACUACGAGGAAAUGAAGGCUCUCCUAUACGCUGCAGUGGAGCAGGCUCCAUCGGCAGAUGUAAGCGAAGCACAUGUUUUGGAAAGCUACUUUAGCAAAUUUGAUGAAAAGUUUUUUCAUUAUUGUGACAAGGAACUGGCCAAAAUAAACACUUUCUAUUCUGAAAAACUGGCAGAGGCUACACGUAGAUUUUCCACACUUAACAACGAUCUGAGCGAGAUUCUGUCAGUUUCUGAGGAUGGCCAAAGUCGUAAGGCGCGCUAUCGCCGUCACAUUUUGCAUAAGAAGACAGUAUCGGCACGCAAAUUACAGGAAUUGAAAUUGGCCUUUUCCGAAUUCUAUCUUUUCCUUAUUUUGCUUCAAAACUACCAGAAUCUGAAUUUCACUGGAUUCCGAAAAAUCUUGAAGAAGCAUGACAAACUUUUGAAUGUCGACAUUGGUGCCAAAUGGCGUGCAGAGCACGUCGAUACGGCGGUUUUCCAUACGCGUAAGGAUAUAGAUAGGCUCAUUGUGGAGACCGAGGCUCUGGUAACUCGAGAUCUAGAGCACGGUGAUCGUCAACGAGCCAUGAAGCGACUCAGAGUGCCUCCGCUCGGAGAACAACUCUCUCCGUGGAUCACAUUUAAAGUAGGCCUCUUCUCCGGCGCUUUUAUCAUACUUUUCAUAGCUGUGACACUGUCCGCUAUGCGAUACAAAGAAAAGGACAAUUGGACGGUAUUGUGUCGGAUUUAUCGCGGACCUCUUCUUAUGAUAGAAUUCCUGUUUCUUAUGGGAAUUAACGUUUACGGCUGGAGAUCUUCUGGCGUGAAUCAUGUGCUGAUAUUCGAGCUUGAUCCACGCAAUCACUUAUCAGAACAGCACAUCAUCGAAAUGGCAACCAUACUUGGUCUGGUUUGGUCCAUAUCUAUAUUGGGUUUUCUGUACAGCGAUACGUUGGGUGUACCGCCGUUUGUUCAACCAGUGUUGUUCUACGCGCUUUUAGCACUGUUUCUGUUCAAUCCUACCAAGACGUUGCGACACGAGGCCAGAUUUUGGACGUUACGCGUUAUGGGUCGCAUCUUUUGCGCGCCCUUCUUCUAUGUGGGCUUUGCAGAUUUCUGGCUCGCUGAUCAGCUCAAUUCUCUUCACACAGUCUUCCUGGAUUUUCAAUAUUUCGUUUGCUUCUAUAUCCAAAAUUCUUCUUGGACCGACGUUACGGAUACAGAAACUUGUAUAAUGCGUGAAUUGUCGAUGAGACCGUUUGUGGUCUGUUUACCGGCUUGGUUUCGAUUUGCACAAUGUUUAAGGCGUUAUCGGGAUACGAAGGAGGGCUUUCCGCAUCUACUAAACGCGGUCAAAUAUGCAACAAGCUUUUUUGUCGUCAUUUUCUCUUAUCUGCACUUGACAAACAAGAAAUACUAUGCAUUGUCUACUGAGAAUCCCUACUUCUACUUGUGGCUCACAGUCAGCGUAGUAAGCUCUUGCUUCACGUACACAUGGGAUGUAAAAUUAGAUUGGGGUCUCUUCGACAGCAGCCCUGGAGAGAACAAGUUUCUUAGGGAGGAGAUAGUUUAUUCGUCACCUCAUUAUUACUAUUUUGCGAUGGUCGAAGAUUUUAUCUUGCGAUUUGGAUGGGCAUUCUCCUUGUCCCUGACAGAGAUGGGUUACGUCCACGCAGAUCUUAUGGUUUCCAUAGUCGCUCCAUUGGAGGUUUUCAGUAACGAAAUAAUUAAUCGUCGAAAGUCGAGAAAACCACGACUUAAUCGACGAUAGACCAGCCGAUCUGAUCGCUUAACAAUGCGCCUUAUACUAAUAAGUCGCUAGAAGGUUCUUGUGGAAUUACUUUCGGCUGGAGAACGAGCAUCUAUACAACGUAGGCAAUUUCCGGGCAGUGCGGGAUAUCUCCAUAGGACCCAUCAGAUGCGACGAAGACGAUGAUAUCAGGAACGUGAUCCGUCUGAUGGACAACACGAAUGACGACAACGACCAUGACAACAACGAUUAUGACAACAACGAUUAUGAAGAUGAAUUAGUGGAGUCCCAUGAUUGCAGUGUUUGACACGUUGCGUUUCGUGUGGAAUUUCUUCCGCUUGGAAAACGAGCAUUUGAACAAUUGCGGAAAGUUUCGAGCCGUGCGGGAUAUCUCAGUCGCACCGGUCGAUUGUUCGGAUCAGACGCAGAUAUUGCGAAUGAUGGAUGCUUCUGAUGGCGUGAUAAACCGCAGGAGGAAACAGAAAGUUGACGAGAAGCGCAAGCCAAUUCGGUUACUUUUGAGGGGCGAAUCUCUCAUGGACGACAAUUGAGGCGAUGAUCAUUUAGCUAUGCAUAG